UACGUAGGGGGCAAGCGUUGUCCGGAAUCAUUGGGCGUAAAGCGCGUGUAGGCGGCUCGAUAAGUCUGCUCUGAAAGUCCAGGGCUCAACCCUGGGAUGCCGGUGGAUACUGUCGAGCUAGAGUACGGAAGAGGCGAGUGGAAUUCCCGGUGUAGCGGUGAAAUGCGCAGAUAUCGGGAGGAACACCAAUUGCGAAGGCAGCUCGCUGGGACGUCACUGACGCUGAGACGCGAAAGCGUGGGGAGCCAAACAGGG
rnacentral:rRNA from 1 species